GACGAACCGUCCAAACGUUAUUCGGAAUUACUGGGCUUAAAGGGUGCGUAGGCGGCCUGACAAGUUGGGUGUGAAAUACCUCGGCUCAACCGAGGAAUGGCGCUCAAAACUGCCAGGCUAGAGGAAGAUAGAGGUGAGCGGAACUUAAGGUGGAGCGGUGAAAUGCGUUGAUAUCUUAAGGAACACCCGUGGCGAAAGCGGCUCACUGGAUCUUUUCUGACGCUGAUGCACGAAAGCUAGGGGAGCAAACGGG
rnacentral:rRNA from 1 species